GCGCCUGUAGCUCAGUGGUAGAGCAGUGAUCUUAUAAGUCACGGGCCGUAGG
rnacentral:tRNA from 1 species